GUUUUUGUUGUGUUGUUGUUGAUGAAUAUUAAUCCAAAGAAAAGCUGGCAUGUUCGAAAUAAACACAACGUUGCCAUUGUGAGAGAAGAUGAGGCCAAGGCUCUCGCAGAAAAAAUGGAAGAGCAGCGAAAGAUCGACCUGGCUGAUUCUGAGUAUCGUUUAAGACUCCUUCGUUCCCGUGCCGCCAAAGAUUCCUCAAUCGUGACAGAAAACUCAAAAAUUGUUAAAAAAACUGAACUGAUGGAACACGUCAACUUUUUUAUGGACGAAGAAAAGGGGCUUAAAGCCUCGUAUUUAAAAAACGCCGAAACUGAGCAAGAAAAAAAGGGAAGUCUUAUUAUGAUCCUCUGAAUGACGUAAAAAGAGCGACCUCGAAGGACCAGUCGAUUGUAAGAAAGGAUG